rnacentral:rRNA from 1 species
GACGAACGCUGGCGGCGUGCUUAACACAUGCAAGUCGAACGGAAAGGCCCUGCUUUUGUGGGGUGCUCGAGUGGCGAACGGGUGAGUAACACGUGAGUAACCUGCCCUUGACUUUGGGAUAACUUCAGGAAACUGGGGCUAAUACCGGAUAGGAGCUCCUGCUGCAUGGUGGGGGUUGGAAAGUUUCGGCGGUUGGGGAUGGACUCGCGGCUUAUCAGCUUGUGGGGGGGGGAGUGGCUUACCAAGGCUUUGACGGGUAGCCGGCCUGGGAGGGUGACCGGCCACCUUGGGACUGAGAUACGGCCCAGACUCCUACGGUAGGCAGCAGUGGGGAAUAUUGCACAAUGGGCGGAAGCCUGAUGCAGCAGCGCCGCGUGCGGGAUGACGGCCUUCGGGUUGUAAACCGCUUUCGCCUGUGACGAAGCGUGAGUGACGGUAAUGGGUAAAGAAGCACCGGCUAACUACGUG